UGUCCCAGAGCACAGCCCAGGCCCUGAGGACUUCUUCAUAGGCUGUCACACCCUGUGCAGGACUCAGUCCCAGUCAGGACACAGCAUGGACAUGAGGGUCCCCGCUCAGGUCGUGGGAAUCCUGCUGCUCUCGCUGCCAGAGACCACAUGUGACAUCCAGUUGACACAGCCUCCAUCCUUACCUGCAUCUGCAGGAGACACAGUCACCAUCUCUUGUCAGGCCAGUCAGAGUGUUAACAAAUUCUUAAACUGGUAUCAGCAGAAACCAGGGCAAGCUCCUAAACUCCUGAUCUACUAUGCAACCACUUUGCAGUCUCGGGUCCCACCCAGGUUCAGCGGGAGUGCGUCUGGGACAGAUUUCACUCUCACCAUCAGCAGCCUGCAGCCUGAAGAUGUUGCAACUUACUGCUGUCCACAGUAUCAGAGGUCCCCUCCCACAGUGAUACAAGCCAUGACAUAAACCUCCCAGGG